CCUUUUGUAUAAUGGGUCAGCGACUUAUAUUCUGUAGCAAGGUUAACCGAAUAGGGGAGCCGAAGGGAAACCGAGUCUUAACUGGGCGUUAAGUUGCAGGGUAUAGACCCGAAACCCGGUGAUCUAGCCAUGGGCAGGUUGAAGGUUGGGUAACACUAACUGGAGGACCGAACCGACUAAUGUUGAAAAAUUAGCGGAUGACUUGUGGCUGGGGGUGAAAGGCCAAUCAAACCGGGAGAUAGCUGGUUCUCCCCGAAAGCUAUUUAGGUAGCGCCUCGUGAAUUCAUCUCCGGGGGUAGAGCACUGUUUCGGCAAGGGGGUCAUCCCGACUUACCAACCCGAUGCAAACUGCGAAUACCGGAGAAUGUUAUCACGGGAGACACACGGCGGGUGCUAACGUCCGUCGUGAAGAGGGAAACAACCCAGACCGCCAGCUAAGGUCCCAAAGUCAUGGUUAAGUGGGAAACGAUGUGGGAAGGCCCAGACAGCCAGGAUGUUGGCUUAGAAGCAGCCAUCAUUUAAAGAAAGCGUAAUAGCUCACUGGUCGAGUCGGCCUGCGCGGAAGAUGUAACGGGGCUAAACCAUGCACCGAAGCUGCGGCAGCGACGCUUAUG
rnacentral:rRNA from 1 species